CAGAGUUUGAUCAUGGCUCAGGACGAACGCUGGCGGUGCGCCUUAUGCAUGCAAGUCGAGCGAAGCUUUUCAGUAGUUUACUACAGAAAAUGACUGAGCGGCGAACGGGUGAGUAACGCGUGAGCAACCUACCUUAGUUACUGGGAUAGCCCGAGGAAACUCGGAUUAAUACCGGAUAUUCUUAUUUAAUCACAUGAUUUUUUAAGGAAAGGUCAGCCGAACUAAGAUGGGCUCGCGUUCUAUCAGCUAGUUGGUAGGGUAAUGGCCUACCAAGGCUACGACGGAUAGCUGGUCUGAGAGGACGAUCAGCCACACUGGGACUGAGACACGGCCCAGACUCCUACGGGAGGCUGCAGCAGGGAAUAUUGCGCAAUGAGCGAAAGCUUGACGCAGCGACACCGCGUGUGGGAUGACGGAUCUAGGUUUGUAAACCACUUUCAGGAGGGAAGAAAAUGACGGUACCUCCACAAGAAGCCCCGGCCAACUACGUGCCAGCAGCCGCGGUAAUACGUAGGGGGCGAGCGUUGUCCGGAUUUAUUGGGCGUAAAGAGCUCGUAGGCGGUUCAACAAGUCGGUCGUGAAAGUUCAGGGCUCAACCCUGAAAUGUCGAUCGAUACUGUUGUGACUAGGAUACGGUAGAGGUGAGUGGAAUUCCGAGUGUAGCGGUGAAAUGCGUAGAUAUUCGGAGGAACACCAAUUGCGAAGGCAGCUCACUGGGCCGCUAUCGACGCUGAGGAGCGAAAGCUAGGGGAGCAAACAGGAUUAGAUACCCUGGUAGUCCUAGCUGUAAACGAUGGAUACUAGACGUA
rnacentral:rRNA from 1 species